CGGAAUUCCCCAGAGCCCCUCCACGGAGUUCAGCAGGAACGGGCCACAAUGUAUUUACUUCUAAACCGCAAUCACUAAACAGUUGCUCCGGUGAAGUCACUGCAGAGUCCAGCCUGAUUCAUGGAGCGAUGAUGGACUUACCCCAUUAGCCUCCAUGGCCAGGAGAGUUCUGCUUUACCGAAUCAGAAGCAGGUCGCCAAUAGACAAUGCAAAGUAUCAGCCCAUAUUCACAGUUACCACAUUUACUUUACAUACUUUUAUGUUGUAACUAAGUUAAACUACUUUGUACAGUAAACAAGUACACUUCUAAGGUGCUUGUGAUUCACUUGAGUAAUUUAAUUUUAUGCUACUUUCUACUUGAGCUACAGUGUACUUCGAGGGGAAAUGUUGUACUUUUUUACUUAUACACUUACUUUUUUAUUUGUCUGACAAUUUAGAAAUAAUUAAGACCUUAAAACACUUUCAUGAUACAACGAAUGACUUAAAAAUAUGACAAAUAGCUAUACAGGAAAUUAAGCCACCUGGCAGUAUAUGACAUAAUGCUGUUAAUGUGUUAAUGUCACAGUAAUAAUGAUCCAGUAGUAUAACAUAUUAUUAGAACACAGAUGGAGCCCAUUUUAGUGUGUAAAUAAAAAGGAAUAUUUUUAUGAUAUGUACGUAUACAUUUUGCUGAUUACUUCAUGCAGUUGGAAUGUAUGACUAUUGCUUGUAAGCAAGUAUUUUUAAAUCAUUAUAUUUGUUCUUUUACCUAAGUAAAAGAUCUGAGAACUACUUACACCACAACAUAUUUUAUAUUGUAUUUUCCAGCUGAUAAAAUGCAUUUCAUAACAGCUAUAUGCAUCAUGUAUAAAGUUUAUCUUGUAUUAUUGAGA